rnacentral:lncRNA from 1 species
CAUUUACUGAAUGUGUUAAAUUAUAAAACUGUGCAACAGUUUUAUAAUUUAAGACAAAUCUUAUAUGUUUAAUUGAAAAAGUAAAUAUUUUGAAAAUUAAUUUUGUCUAUAUAUAUAUUAGAUGUUCAAGAGAUCAGAGCCGAAGAGGUCUUGCCAACGGAAAUAAUGGACAAGCUAAAAAAAUUAGAAGAUUCUGUUGAGAACCUAA